rnacentral:rRNA from 1 species
AACGCGAAGAACCUUACCUGGGUUGAACUACGCAGGAAAAGCCGUAGAGAUACGGUGUCCGAAAGGGCCUGCGAUAGGUGGUGCAUGGCUGUCGUCAGCUCGUGUCGUGAGAUGUUGGGUUAAGUCCCGCAACGAGCGCAACCCUUGUCCUGUGUUGCCAGCGGAUAAUGCCGGGGACUCGCAGGAGACUGCCGGGGUCAACUCGGAGGAAGGUGGGGACGAAGUCAAGUCAUCAUGCCCCUUACGUCCAGGGCUGCACACAUGCUACAAUGGCCGGUACAAAGGGCUGCUAUUCCGCGAGGAUGAGCGAAUCCCAAAAAGCCGGUCUCAGUUCGGAUCGGAGUCUGCAACUCGACUCCGUGAAGUCGGAGUCGCUAGUAAUCCCGGAUCAGCAACGCCGGGGUGAAUACGUUCCCGGGCCUUGUA